AUGGCAGUGUCGCUACCACUGUAAUCAGCCUAACCAAGCUGGUGCUGUCACUCAGGAAGUGGGGGAGACAAUGUAGACCAUGCUGUGAACCUUAACUAGCUGUUGGCAGAAAAAUGAAGACCAAAACUCAGCCCAGAAGAAAAUGGAAUUAUGGGGAAAACAACAUGGAAAAUGAGUUGCUAUGGAAUGGGAAGAGAAUGUGCUCAUGGACACCUCCCACUCAGUGUCUGGAGCACAGUCCACACUCAGUAGUGAGCACUCAGUAUAAGAGGAAAGAGGUCCCUUCUCACCGAUUUUCUCUGGACUCUCAGAAAUGAUACAGAGCUUAAGAAUGGGCCUUGCUCUUUUGUUUACCAGAUGAAACACUAAAGACUCAAAUUGUAAUUGGUGAGUAGUAGAUAAUGUGGUUGUCUGAGUGCCAAAUUGCCAUCCCAACUCAACCUCCUCCCUGUGUCAGAGACCUGAGUCUUAAAGGUAUGGAGUGGGCCGUGCUGGGGGGUGGGGGAGGCUGACCUCUUCUCCUACUCAUGUAAGAUAGUCUUAGUUGGAUGAAGCCAGUUAGUUCCACCUGAGAGUGAGUUUGGGCUCAGUGGUUUUACAAAGCACCCUGGUGAUUCUAAGGCACAGCCAGGGCUGGGGAUCACUAACUACUCAUGACAAUUUCCAUUGUUAACAGCAUGGAAGGAGAGUGUUCCUGGGGCUUCUGAGAAAGCUGAAUUUCUUCUUUCUAUUUUCUAUUUUUCUUUUAAAAAAUAGAUAUAUUGUGUUGAUAAAACAGUCUAUGCUGCCCCUGGAUGGGAUGCCUGGAACCAUGGGCCCUAUUUUGAGAACAAAAGCCACUAAGGUUUGCGGAGAAAAAGAAGGGAAAAGACAUGGAUACUUAACAUGUUACUGAGCAACUGAAUUACCCGACCCCAGAACUGCCUUCUCCCUGGCCUUGCUGUUAAGUGAAUCACUGAAGGUUGAUUUAGCCGUUACUUGAAGCUGAGAGCAUCCUAAGUGACAUGGUUAUAUAGAAAGUGGCUGAGCUGAAGUCAAGCCAAGACCAGUUCUAAGGGAAAAAACUAGUGGAAGCUAAGAGUGAGGAGAAGCCAACCGAUAAUUGGGCAGUUAUUUGAAUGGGACCUUCAGGUUUCUGGACAGUUUUCAACUAUUAAAAGGUAAUUUGUUAGGGUUUUGAUAUAUUAUCUUGAAUUCCUUUCUUUGGUUUUUCUAUUCAUCAGGACCCCUUCCUGAAAAUAAAGAAGAUUAUCUAGAUAGUUAAUUGCCAGGUUUAAAAUACAAUUGGAGAGGAAGACCAGGUUUGAAGUUUGGGUAGUUAUUAAUAUUCAUAGCAAAUCUAAGGUUUCUGGAUUGUCUUGGAUUUCAGUAAAAUUCUAGUAAAUUUGCUCAUUUAGACAAUAACCUCAGUGAUUAAUGGGUCCAAUCACUUUUUCAACUGGAUUAAAUCUUCAGUCUAGUAAUUUUCCACAUAGGGUCCUCUGAAAGAAACAAUAGAAGAAAGAUUUCUUUAUAAUUUGAUCAUUAUGAAAUAGUCAAAUCCCCAGAGAAAAGCAGUCACCUGAAAUAUUAGUGCUUUUUGAAAGGUUCUUAUACCAUACAUAUCUCUAUAUGUAAACAGUUUAAGGAUGUGGAUUCCAUAUUUUUUUUAACUCUCAUGCAAAAUUGAAGUGGCUCAAAGUGUUAGCAUCACCGUCUAGAAACUUCCUGAAGGUGGCGCUCAAUGGUGAGACUGAGCAUCUGAACCAGCAAUUUCAGCAUCUGGAAAAAGUCAAGUCAAGUCCAGCCUUUUCUUCUUGACAGAGUUAAUUACCUUAAGUUAACGUACAGUGAAAGACUUCAUGGCACAAAAAAGAAUAACCAAAUUAUAAAAGGUAUAAUUUAAAGGCUUUGUCAAGAGCUGUGAUGAUCACACCCUAGAAGAUAUAAAUGUUCUGAAGUGGUACUGAUGCUCUGCGCUGGGAGUGUCUGAAGGAGGAACAAUGCCUGCAUUAGUGUUCAGGCUCUGGAGAGGAAAAAGCUUUUUGGUCUGCAAUUACUAGUCUGCUAGUCUCAUUUUAGAACACAUCUACUUGAUGCUUGCUAUUUUUUUUUUCCACCACGCUUUUCUCCCUCUUAUUUCACGUGUACAUUAACAUGACUAAAAUAUGCUUUGCUGGGUGUUGAAGCUGCUGCCUGAUAGCAAGGCUCAGAUCCUCACUUUGCAGCAGCAUCCCCAUACCUUACACUGGGUCGGUGGAGCCCCAAAGUGCAAAACAUGCCCAUCUAGACCACUCCAAAGGCCAUCCAGUUUGGAUUUUCUGCCCUACUUCCUGAACCUGUCUCUUUAUGUGCAUCUCACUCAUUUUCUUCGAUUUGCUUCAUGAAUAAAGAGUACCUUCCAGAACAGGAGCUGCUAGCACUUUGUCUUCUAUCAUCUUGGUAGCAGCUGGCCUCCUUCUCUCAGUUUGAUGUCACCUCCAAUCCCAAGCCCCAGUACUUUACCACCUUGAGCUAAGAUGGGCAUGGAAUGAAUCUCCCCUGGCAUAUCCUCCUGCUUUUAGAGGGUCUCAGACCCUAAGCUAAAGUUGCUCUGGUUCUUGGCUUGAUUCCCUGAAGAUCAUGUUAAAUUCUACCAAGGAGAGCUCUUUUGAAGAAUAAAUUAAAUACCUACUUGGAGCACCCCAUCCCAGGUUUGAGAAGAAACUUCUGAUUAUCGUACUGUAACAGAGCAGGUCAGAGAGGCAUUUUUAUUUUAACAAAAGCAUUUCUUUCCCAGGCACAGUGGCUCAUGCCUGUAAUCCCAGUGAUUCAGGAGACUGAGGCAGGAGGAUGGAAAUGUAAAACUAGCUUCAGCAACUUAGUGAAACCCUGUCUCAAUAUAAAAAUUAAAAAGGACUGGGGAUAUGGCUCAGUGGCUAAGUGCCCCAGGGUUCAAACCCUGGAUGAGGAGGAGGAGGUCAAAAAUAUGUUUUCUUUUGUUAGAACUACCUCUUUCUUCACUCCCAACUCUUUCACUAUUCUAUUCCUCCAUCUCUCAUAUCCUGUCUUUUGGUAUUCUAAAUUCUAAAGAAAGCUCUCUGCAAUGUCCUUUCCUCUUCUGCAGUUUAAAAGAGAAUGUGUUUACCUAAAAGGAAGAAACAGAUGCUGGCCCCAGGAAGUCCUGGCUCCUUUUGGUAUGAUAAGGAGGUAACAGGGACUCUAAAAAGAGGUGAAACCUAUAAAAUUUCCCUCUUUUUUUCCCCAGUGUGCCCAUUCCCCCUUUAAAAAGAUUUUCUCACCCCAGAGACUUCCUAAGAUGGAAUUUUUCAAACAAAAAGUUUCUUCCUUCAAAGCUGACUUUGAAUAAAACCUAUUUUCCUACCAAUUUGACUCAGACUAUUUCUGAAGCAGGAAGUGGUGUAGCCUAAUCUCCUCACCAGAGCAGUAUUGGAGCCACCAGGUAAGAUUGUCAAAGACCUUCAACUAGGCUGAUCUAUAAAUGCAAAAAGGCAGCAAAGAUGAAGACUGAUAGAAUUGGAUUCCCAGUAAACAUUGGCCAAACUCACACCUUCCAUGGCUUCUAGAGCAACAGCUUCCUACAGGAAGGAGGAGGAUCUUUGUUUUCAUUCCAUCUCUGUGGCCUGACAGCCUGGCCUGAUGUUAUGGUUUAGAUGUGAGAUGUCCUCCUAAAGCUCAUGUAUGAAAUGAUGCAAGAAAGUUUAGAGGCAAAAUGAUUGGGUUAUAAGAGCCUUAACCUAAUCAGCACAUUGAACCCUGAUAGGGAUUAACUGGGUGGUAACUGUAGGCAUUCGGGGUGUGGUUAGAGGAGCUGGGUCACUGGGGGCAUGCCUUUGGGGUUUAUAUUUUGUCUGUGGUGAGGACAGUCUCUCUCUCUCUUUCUGCUUCAGGUUCCAAGUGCUGAGCUGCUUUCUCCUGCCACACCCAGUGCUUCUGCCAAAAUGUUCUGCCUCACCUGAGGCCCAGAGCAACGGAGUUGAUCAUCUAUGGACUAAGACCUCCCAAACUGCGGACCCCCACAUAAACUUGUCCUCCUGUAAUUGUUCUUGUUAGGUCUUUUGGUCACAGCAGGGAAAAGCUGACUAAAACCCCUACUUCCUACCACUUCCUACUUCCUCUAGAGGCUUACUUACCUCAGAGUCAGUCAUCCAUAAACUGGGCCCACUGUGCUGACCCCACAUGCUUUCUUUUAAAAAGCAAUUUACCUGCACCCCUGCCUGGCCUAAGUCAAUAGACUAUGUUGCAUAAAAACUUUUAGGAGAAAUUCAGGAGAAAGGCUCAUCCCUGCCAAAAUGAAGAAUUCAAGUUACACUGAAGUAGGGGUUUCUGUGAUCCUUACACAGGAUCAGAUUCCAGAACUCAAGGAGAUUUGAUAGCUAGAACCAGUUAGCAUGGGCCAAAGUAACUCACAGUUGCCUUGGAUCUUUAGCAUGUCAACUCUCCCCUCCAUGGGGUAACACCAUGCACAGAAGGACCUGAGAGUGAUGCAGUCCUGCUGUCAGUCAAAAGUCAAGAGGUAGGCCUGGUGGGACUCUAUAGAAACUUCCCUGGUGUUAGAGGGAUAGACACAUGAGAAUGGUGGGAACACAAAGUUAAGAGAACAAUGACAUAAAAUAGACCCACAGUGCUGACCCCCUCAGGCUUUCUUUGCCAAAAAGCGAUUUGCCUGCAGACCUGCCUGGCCUAAAUGGACAGGAUAUGUCACAUUCCUCAACAAACUACCUGUUUUCUGCCAGGAAAUGCAGGCAGGAAAUAACAUUUAUAAGAGGAACCCAAGUUACUUUGAAAGGAGAGAUAUUUGUGACCCUUUUCACAGACCGGAUUCCAGAAGAUAAGGAUAAGUCCUCCCCACCAUAAAACUUGUAAAAAUGGUUAAGAAUCCAAUUAGACUCAGUCAGCAUGGGCCAAGGUGACAUAGAGUUGUCAUUGGCAACAGGGACUUGAAAGUGUGAUGUUACCCUGCUGUCGGUCAGAAGUCAUGAGGUUGACCUGGGCAGGACUCUCUGGGAUCCCCAAUAAAACUGGAUUGCAGGAGAGACACAUUGUCUCCCUAUUCUCUGAGAGGACUCUCUCUCUCCCUUGAGAGUGUCCCCUUUCCCUUUUCCUUUCCUUUCAAUAAACUCA